GACAGCAGCCAUAUCACCCUGCAGCUCCCAGCUGGCAGCCCCACUGGAGCUCAGCAGGUGUGAGCCUGGUCAGUAUCUGGAUGGGAGACCUCCUGGGAAAGCUCAGGUUGCUGCUGGAA
rnacentral:rRNA from 1 species